rnacentral:rRNA from 1 species
AUGGAAAAUCUUUGCAAGUGGAAGAUUUUACUUGACAAUAUUCCAAAAGGAACCAAACUAACUCUCAAGCCUUUGUCCAGUACUCGUUGGGAGAGUCGAAUAAAGAGUGUGCAACCUAUCAGGUACCAAACUAUCCAUGUAAUUUCAGCUUUGAAGGUAUUGGAGGAGACUUCUACUGAUGACCCAACAACUACAAGUGAUGCUCAAUCUGUGGUGAGCCAAAUGUUACAGGAAAAUAUGGUGUGCAUUGAUGCUACUAUAGGGUCAUAUCAUAUUUUAAGAAGUACAAAGAUGAAGGCUUUCAAGCUAGUAUUGAAAUAG